GAAUGUCUUCUUUGUCAUCUGUUCUUCAGCAAUCGCGUUCGGACUGCCAGCCCUAAUGUGUUUUUCGGCAUCGUGUCCAGGAAGUCUGGACAGCAAAAACCACAUGAAUUGCGUCUUUUGCAAACAUUUGGAGGUACCGCUGCUGUCAGAGCUGUGAGAGGACAAAGCUGUUUCACAGCAACAAGUUGAAGCUGCUGCCAGAAGGCUGAAUUUAGCUCCAGACUGACAGCUUAGCACCGUGUGUGCCCGCUCUUAAAAUGCUCAAGAAGGCCAGGCCUCGGAGGAGCCUGAUUGACAUUUCGUAGCAUUGUGUUCAAAAGUCUCUUUGCGGGUUACACGGAUGCCACGAUAUGAGGAGCAUCAAACACUGCCGCUUUCACACACAAGGCGAUGCAUGACUUUACAUUAGCAGGUCGAUAAUGUUAAAGAUAAGUGAGGGAACGCAGGGACUGUAAUUAAAGAAUGUCUUGCUUAAUUAAAACUAUAGGGAAGGUCCACUGCUUUACAUAUGAACUCGUUAGAAUUCUGUAGACAUGGUACCGUUGGGUGUUAACUAUAGUGCAGGGAUCAAAAGUUUAGGUUCUUAAUGUUAAAGCUUUUAUCUCCGCCCAUAGGGGAAGUCAAUUUCACAAUAAAAGACACCAGAUUUCCUGACU